ACCAAAACAACAAUGGCGACCACAGUGUACUUAUCGAUCUCGUGUUGAAAUUAUCUUCAACAGUGCUGUCGCUGCAACAAAAUGUAGUACAUCUUAUAUCACAAGUGAACUCGUUGCAAGCAACCGCUAUAAAUCCAUCGUCGACUGCAAGGAAUAAUGAUGAACAAGGAAGCUAAACUCCGGCGAAUUCAAGUACAAUCGCAAUUAAUCCCGUGUCGUCUUUCACAAUAGACACAGCCUUUGCCCGUAUUUCCGCAGCAGCUGCAGGAUCGCCAACACAGGGCCCGGAAUUGAAGAGGAAGGACGAAAUCUCUCCCCCUGGUAGAGACCAUCUCGCCUCAUCUGCGCCUCCAAUUUACAUCAGGUAAAGAUGUCAAUUUAGCAUCCUUGUUGAUACCAUAUUUCUCUCCCCUGGACAAAAAAGAUGACAACAAGAAGCCGGAUAAACGAUUGCAGAAGUCGCUAAACAUCGGUAAUCAUUCAAGCUUUCGGAAUUUACAAAAAACAUAAUGUGUCGAGCAUACCCCCAAAGAUGAGAGGAGUUAGAUUUGUAGGAAAGGGACAUCAUUGACAUGGCUACCCGCUACCCAAGCAAUGGGUUCUACGAAUAUCAUCAUCAAUUCAGUCUUAUGGCCGCUUCACAUCUUAAGUAUAAUAACAUUCUUAUCUCAUCCCAACACCCAAUUUACAGAAUAUCUUAUGAAUGGUUUAUGUUUUUGCUUUCAUACUGGCUCUCAGGAUCUUCCAAAGAAUUCUCUGGAAUGCAAAAAUCUAAAGUCAGCUUCAUUAAACUCGGACAGCGUUACAGAGAUCAUAAACAAAGAACUAAACCUGGGUUACUUGUAUGGUCCAUUUUCAGAAAUUCCCUUCCGACACUAUCGCAUUAACCCUAUUGGGAUAGCCGAAAGCAAGUACUCUAAGAAAAAGUGCCUCAUUGUUGAUAUGUCAGCACCACACAAUGACGAAGAAAAUCUUAGCAUGAAUACUCUUAUUGAUAAGUCAGAAUUCUCCCUGUGUUAUGUUACAAUGGACGAUGCUAUUAGACUAAUUAAAUUAUGUGGGAAAGGAGCAUCACUAAUUAAAUCAAACAUUACUGAUGCCUUCAAGAUCAUGCCUAUAUUAUAUAAGUUAUGGCCAUAUCAUGGAAUUAAGUGGGACGAUAAAUACUAUUUCUUCAAGCGCCUUGUCUUUGGAAGCAGAUCAAGUCCAAAGAUCUUUGACGCCCUGUCUUCCACUGUGUGUUGGAUUGCAGAGAAAAAAUACAAGAUACCAAAUGUGCUGCACCUGUUGGAUGACUUCCUAGUUGUGGUUCCACCAUUUGAUGAUGCUCAUAAAGUGAUGGAGGGAUUCCUGGGGAUAUUUAGAACCCUCGGGAUUCCUCUAUCAGAGAAGAAAACUGAAGGACCUUGUACAGAACUGGAAUACCUUGGGAUAAUAUUAGACUCCUUGAACAUGGAAUCCCUGUUUACCGCCAGAGAAGAUUGAUCGCAUCUUAUCUAUCGUAAAUUCCUUCAAAACACGCAAAUCCUGUACAAUGAGGGAAUUGCUCAGUCUGCUGGGACAUCUCAAUUUUGCCUGCAGGGUCGUUCUGCCAGGUUGAUCUUUCAUUUCUCACCUGAUAGCUUUAUCAACCACAGUGGAGCCGCUUCAUUUCCAUGUUCACUUAGACAGUAUGUGUUGGGACGACCUUGCUAUGUGGUCAGAUUUCUUAAAAAGCUGGAAUGGAGUGUCCUUUUUCAUCGACGAUAACCUGACAGAGGCUGCGGAUAUGCAGUUGUUUACAGACCUAACCCUUACAUCCUCCAGAGGUUUUUACCAAAAUAAGUGGUUUCAAGGAGAUUUUCCCGACAACAUUACCAAGGAAUACACAUCGAUGGCUCUUUUUGAGCUAUAUCCUAUCGUUAUGGCCUGCCUUCUGUGGGGUGAUACUUGGCCAAGGAAACGCAUUCUUUUCCAUUGUGACAACCAAGCAACUGUUGACAUUAUUAGGAAAGGACGCUCAAAAGUUAAAAGCAUUAUGAAACUAAUGAGAACUUUAACCUUUCAUGCAGCCUGUAACCAUUAUAUCAUUCAUGCUGUUCAUAUUGAUGGCGUCAAGAACACUAUUGCUGACUCUCUCUCUCGUUAUCAGAUGCAGAAGUUUUGAACCCUGGCACCAAAAGCCGACCUGACGCCAACACCAUGCCUGGAACAUUCGCAGCUAAUGAAUGACUGAAGGAGCAGUUAAACCAAUUAUGGGACGCAUCCUUAAGCAGUUGAACUAAGAGGGCCUACAGCAUUACAAUGUUUUCUGACCUUCAUUUCUAUGAGUGGAAUUGUAUUUCAAUCCAACUGUCUUCCAAUAAUAAAUGAAACUUUGCUUAUGUAUUUUGUCACUCAUUGUAAAUCUGUUCUAAAACUCAAGUAUGACACUAUCAAAUUGUAUUUAGCAGGUAUUAAGUUUUACUAUAUUAGAGCAGGUCAUAGAGAUUCUCUAAAUAACUUUAACCAGCUACCAUAUGUAUUGCGAGGGGUGAAAAAGUCUCAAAACAAUAUCUCUAACAACAGAUUACCCUUUACUGCAAGUAACAACUGUGGCAUGUACUUGACAAUGGAGCUUUUUCUCCAUUUCUAGAUCUGAUGUUGAAAUGUAUGUUUUCCUGUGCCUUUUUCGGGUUUCUUAGAUGUGGUGAAAUUACUUGUAAAAAAGCAAACUCUGUACUUUUUCUAAAAAAUUUUUAUGUUAGCUUUGGAUGUAAAUGUUUUGUCCUAUGGUUGAGAACGUCCAAGACCGAGUCAUCCUCACAAGGUGUGGAUAUUACAAUAUUUGAGAAUGAUGUUUUCAAACCUGUACAUAACAUGUGUCUAUAUAUGCAGACCAGAAGAUCUUUGUCGUGCUCUCCACAUUCACCUUUGUUCAUUAUGGAUGAAUUCAAUCAUGGACCUAUGCAUAGAGAUAAAUUUAUUCACCAUCUGAGAUCCUUACUCAUGCGAAUUGGCUUGAACAAUUCUAGAUAUGCAGGCGACUCCUUCAGGAUUGGGGCAGCCACAGCUGCAGCCGCAGCAGGCGUUGAAGACCAUAUGAUUAAAGAUCUGGGUAGAUGGUCUUCUGACUGUUACGUUAGAUAUAUUAGAACUGAUCCCGAAGUUCUCAAAGACAUGCAAAGAAAGCUGUGUAACUUUUGACUUCAUAUAUGAGUACCGUAUGUGUGUUUUGUAAACUAAACUAUUGGUCAUAUAUAGUAUGGAAAUAGGUAUUAAUUUUCAUUUUCAAAUUCAACCAAUCCUUUAUCAAACAUAUCCUUGGGGGCUUCACUCAUUACUUCCUUCAUUUGGCAUUCAUUCCUUGGGAAUUUCGCCCCAAGUCUAUGUUUUAAAUUUUUGUUCGAAGUCUUUAAGGCACUUAGAGAUAAUAAUUAUACUGUUUAUUAUGCAUAAUGAUAUGUUGGUUAAUGUAGUCUAGUUGUCUAGUUAGUAUUUUAGCUUUGAAUACACCGGUAGUCUAGUUGUCUAGUUAGUAUUGUAGCUUUGAAUACACCUUGCAGUUGGUUUAUUCCUUUAUGCUCGCUGGGAUCAGCCCCGAGCGCAAUCUGUUCUUGUCUCGAGGACCGCUGGAGAUCAGCCCCGGGUCAUGCUUUGUUCUAAUAUAUGCCCGCUGGGAUCAGCCCCGGGUCAUGCUUCGUUUUAAUGUUUUCUUUGGUGAUUCAUGCGGGACAUGAAGGUGGAGACAUUGCAAAUAAAAAAAAAUACAUGUACAUAACCUGCAUUCUUAAAUCGGUUAUGUUAUUUUUUCUGCAAUGAUCGCUUCCUCCAUAACCUGCAUAAAUCAUCAAGGGCCACAUUUUAUUAUUUAUAUUUACAUCUUUCUUUUAACAAAUUGAUCGUAUAAAGUAAUCAAA
rnacentral:misc_RNA from 1 species